UACAUUAUAUAAAUGUUGCUCAUAUUUUGAGUUUGAGCAGAAUUUUAUGAUUUGAUACUGGCUUCACCCCUCCCCCUCCUACUCCUCCAUGUCAUUGUUGACAUCAUUAUCAUCAUCAUCAUCAUCAUUAUGAACUCUUAUCUAUCUUUGAUGAUGCAACAAAGAGCCAUCAACCUCACUACCAGGCAUGCACACAUACAUAUAUACAUUUAUUUGUAUAAGUAUAUAUACAUAUAAAUACAUUAUGCGUAUGUCUAUGUGUGAAGAUGAAAGAGAAGCAAGCUACCACCUCUACAGAAUGCUUUUGUUCAUUGACCAAUUUUUUAGUGAUGAAGAGAAUAAAAAGACAAGAUGUCCUUCACACAGCGGCAAUACUUUCCUUGGUUCUUCACUGCUGCCUCUGUGUAGACAUUACCUACCAUGUGGAAGAAGGGAAGGGACCUGGAGCGUAUGUGGGAGACAUCGCUACAGACUUACACUUGAUGGACAAAAUACCAUUCCAAGAUCACAAUCUUAUAACGUUCAGCCAGUUGGAACAAAGACUGUCAGACAGUUUCCGCUUGUUCAAUGUGACCAAGAAAGGUAAACUGCACACAGCACAAUCACUAGAUGCUGAGUCCCUGUGUUCAUAUAAAAUGGAAUGUUCCAAAAUAGUCAAAGUGGCAGUUCGAAAAGCUGAAACUUUUAUGAAAGUACUGAAGAUUAAAGUUGUUAUACAAGAUGUUAAUGAUAACCGACCAGAAUUUCCUGAAAAGUUUGCCAACAUCCAGUUCUCUGAAGGGGACAAGGAAGGAAUGAAGAUUUCUAUUCCAAAUGCUAUUGACAAGGAUAUUGGGGUUCCAUAUUCCAAAAUUAAAUACCAACUUAAAAUGGAAGAAAAAGAACCUUUUACAUUGUCAGUAAUUAAACGAAUAACAGGAACUUCUGAGUUAGGUAUAGUUCUGAUGAAAACAUUAGACCGUGAGGUCAGAGACUCUUACAAUGUACAAAUAAUUGCCAAAGAUGGAGGUUACCCUCCAAAACAAGGUGUUUUAGAUGUUCAUAUAACUGUGACAGAUGUCAAUGACAAUCCGCCUGUCUUUAGUCGAGAUAUUUUCAAUAUUUCUGUAAAGAAUACUCACCAGAGAAAUGGGGCCAUCUUAAUGUUGUCAGCGAGAGAUCUUGAUUCAGGAGAGAAUGGUAAAGUGUCAUACCAGUUUAGUUCUGAAACACCUGAAAGUGUGAAAUCUUACUUUAGACUCAAUCGAGAUACAGGUGAGAUAUUUUUACAGAAGGAUCUUAGAGCAGAACAUAAAAAGACUUAUGAAUUGUUUGUACGAGCCACAGAUGGUGGCAGUGCCCCUCUCAGUUCCAUAGCCAUGGUUUUGGUAAAUGUCAUCAACCAACACAACAUGGCACCAGAAAUAGAUGUCAACUUUGUCACUCCGAUAAAAGAGAAAGAGAAUACAGCAGCCAUUUCUGAAGGAAUCAAAGUCGGCAGUUACAUAGCGUAUGUCAGUAUUAUUGAUAAUGAUGUUGGACAGAAUGGUGAGGUGGAAUGUAGCCUACACCAUGAUAAGUUCCUUCUUUUAGAAUUAGGUUUAAAAGAAUAUAAAAUUACAUUAAAGAAACUUGUUGACAGAGAGAAACAAGAUAGGUAUGACAUAACAAUUUCUUGCGAAGACAAAGGAUCCCCUCCUUUACAGACUCAGAGACAGUUCUCCAUUGAAGUAAUGGAUGUCAACGAUGUACAGCCACAAUUUACAAAAGAAUCGUUUAAAUUUCUGACUUAUGAAAAUGGGAAAACAAACUUCCCCAUUGGUUUUAUAAAUGCUACUGACCCUGAUAUGGGAGCUGGAGGUCAACUGACUUUUUCUCUGUUGAGUACCAGCAAACAUGUGAUACCAUUCCAGAUAACUGAUUAUGGUUUUAUCUCAACCACUAUACCACUGGAUAGAGAACAACAAAAUGUUUAUAAGUUCCAAGUAUUUGUCAAAGACAACGGGAAUCCUUCAUUAAAUAACACAGCCAAUGUGAUUGUAGAAGUUUUAGAUGAGAAUGAUAAUGCCCCUUAUUUCACCUUCCCUAGUUCGGACCCUUUCAGCCUUGAUGUCCACUAUCAUCCCCAAAGUAAAAAAGAGAUUACUGUUUUAAGGGCUUCAGACAGGGACAGUCAUUUAAAUGCGUUCCUUCAAUAUGAAAUUCUUGGAGGAAACAACAAGCAGCUUUUCACAGUAAACCCUUAUUCUGGGGCGCUGUCUUUUGCUCGAACAGUUUACCAAAAUGAUGCUGGUACUUACAAACUACAGAUCACUGUCAGAGACAGUGGCACACCAGCUCUGACAGCAAGAGUAACAUUAUCUUUAACACUGACCGUCAGCAACAAAACGUCUCCAGCCCUGAAAAAUUUUCAGUCACAAUCUGACAACAUGAUCAACUUGACCUGGGUCAUCAUUAUUGUAACAGCAGCAGUAAUAGUGUCAGUAGCCGUAGUGGUGUCCAUCACACUGUGUGUGGUGAGGUGUAAUAACGACAGAGGUACACAGUACAUUACAGAAAUCAGCUCCGACAGAGAGAAAAGUCAUUAUACCUGCACAACUAAGAAACCUGUGGCCACAACAAGAACCCAAACAAGACAAUCAACUGAAAUGAGGAACAGAAAUACACAAUUUAUGGAAUCAAAAAGUGGUUUUUACCCUCAGUACGAGUCCCAAAGUGAAUGGACUACCUCUACUACAGAAAGAAGGCCCCCUUCAGUUUUACUGCGGUGGUGGUGGUGGUGUUGGUGUUGGUAGUAGUGGUGGUGUUGGUGGUGGUGGUGGUAGUGGUGGUGGUGGUUGUGGUCAUGGCGACGGUGGCAAGUCGAGGGUGUAGGGUUAGUGUUGGUAGUAGUGUUGGUGGUGGUGUUGUUGUUGUUGUUGUUGUUGCUUAAUCACUGGUCAUCAGCUUUGGCAACAGCACUUCUGUGUGGGCAAUACAUCAAUCUGCUGGAAAUGGCAGUCAAAUUGUCCUCAAAUCACACCCCAUUGUUUUGAAAGGAGAAAGACACAUCGCCUACAAUGUUGUCUUGGUUGGCAGUGGUAGUCAUGAUUGGAGUGUCUUUGAUCAUAUAUCUUGCUGGAUCAGAGCAAUGGUGGUUGUGUGAGUGGUGGUGCUGGUGGCGACAGCAGCCUGUACUGGUGCCGGAGCUGGGUAGGGGUGGAAACGAAGGAUCCGGUCAAGCAAGCCAGAGGCCAGGUGUGUUUUCAUACUGAAGUCACUGCCUUGACCCCUUGGCUGCCAGAAUAGUGAUAGUGGGGCAGGGUGGGGGGGUGAUGGAAAGUGUGUGCGUGCGUGUGUGUGUGUUUGAGGAAAUGAAUUAACACCACAACAGCAACAACCAACACUCCUACACGCACACACAGUAGAAAAGAAGAAGAAAGAGAACAAGAACAACAGCAAGAAGAAGAAGGGGCCAACAGUUAUUUUGGUUUUUUUUUUCAUGUUUUUCCCUCAAGCCCUUCCCCAUCCUCAUCCCAAUCAUUCCCUUCCCCAUCUCUCUCUCUCUCUUUUUCAUUUCAUGCUUCUUUCGUCUCUCAAUUUCAUUUCACUCUCUUUCUCUACACUCUCUCUACCACAUGUUAUACAUCUCUCUCUUUCUCUUUCUCUCUCUCUCACCCAGUCAUAAACAUCAUUCUCUUUCAAUGCUCAUUUCUCUCUCUCUCUCUCUCUCUCUCUCUCUCUGUCAAUAUUGAUCUCUCUCCUUUGCCACUUCUCUCUGUUCAGUCUUUCUAAGCCUCCUACUCCAUUCAUCUCUCUCUCUCUCUCUCUCUCUCUCACACAUGUAUGCCUCCGUCUUUCCAGUGACACGACUCCAUUGAACCGUUCCUGGAAAGAUGGACAUUUCCAUAAACAAUAACAAAAUCUACAAGGAAUACAGGAUGAGUUGGGAGUGGAAUUGUGACAGAGGUGUGUGAUAUGU
rnacentral:misc_RNA from 1 species